UACUUCACUAUUUUAUUUUUAAUAUAUUCUGAUAAAUAUACUUAUUUAACUUUCAGUGACACUAAGGACAGGUCUUAAUUACAAUGUCCGGUCAAGUUUCAGUUAACGCUAAUUAGCCAAUUAACAACUGAUAACCGAUUUUAUUACCGGACAUUGCUGGCAGUGAGAAAAGUUCCCAUAUUUCAAAAUGCUUCUGAUAUUGAAAUUGAAAAGCCUUUGAAAUCAUUUAUGGCACAAGCAUCUGCUAGAUUAAAA